AACCGUGUAAUGGUCUUAAAUAUUGUGGAUUUGUGACAUCACAAAUGGACAGAAAUCCGGCUUGUUUCAAACACACAGUUUCUGAAUAUGGGCUGUAUGUAUUUCUCUGUGGAUUCAGUGUUUUGAUACUUACACAGUACUUAUAUAUCACUUAAACCUGCUUUAUAAUAAAAAAGACAUGAAAAUCUCACUUUUUACAAUAUGGGACCUUUAAAUGUUUCAAAAGAUGCUUAAAGGGUCAUUUAACUGCUGUUUUGUAACUGAUUUGCCCCAUAUUGUCCAUGUAUGAUUUUUUUCUUUUUUUUUUCCACUCACAGUGUGAUGUAUUACUAUUGCUUUGGAGUCAAUGUGGAGACUUCAAAUAAACCCAGUGGGUUUUUUGCCUCUUCUUGCACUGUUUAUGAUUACUUUUUGUUAUAUUUGUCUAAUCUUAAUUUGUGCAAAAUAAAAAAAAAAAUAAACAAAGUUUUCCUGUU